rnacentral:rRNA from 1 species
GAUGAACGCUGGCGGCGUGCCUAAUACAUGCAAGUCGAGCGAACAGACGAGGAGCUUGCUCCUCUGACGUUAGCGGCGGACGGGUGAGUAACACGUGGAUAACCUACCUAUAAGACUGGGAUAACUUCGGGAAACCGGAGCUAAUACCGGAUAAUAUAUUGAACCGCAUGGUUCAAUAGUGAAAGACGGUUUUGCUGUCACUUAUAGAUGGUUCCGCGCCGCAUUAGCUAGUUGGUAAGGUAACGGCUUACCAAGGCGACGAUGCGUAGCCGACCUGAGAGGGUGAUCGGCCACACUGGAACUGAGACACGGUACAGACUCCUACGGGAGGCAGCAGGAGGGAAUCUUCCGCAAUGGGCGAAAGCCUGACGGAGCAACGCCGCGUGAGUGGUGAAGGUCUUCGGAUCGUAAAACUCUGUUAUUAGGGAAGAACAAAUGUGUAAGUAACUAUGCGCGUCUUGACGGUACCUAAUCAGAAAGCCACGGCUAACUACGUG